rnacentral:rRNA from 1 species
GAAAGUAAGAAAGGGCGUAUGGCGGAUGCCUAGGCUCACGGAGGCGAUGAAGGACGUGAUAAGCUGCGAUAAGCUUCGGGUAGGUGCAAAUAACCCUUGAUCCGAAGAUUUCCGAAUGGGACAACCCGGCCGUCUGAAGGACGGUCACUAUGCAAUGGCAUAGGGCAAACGCAGGGAACUGAAACAUCUUAGUACCUGUAGGAAGAGAAAAUAAGUUAAUGAUUCCCCCAGUAGUGGCGAGCGAACGGGGAAUAGCCCAAACCAUGAUUGUAGCAAUGCAACCAUGGGGUUGUAGGACCACGCUGUAGCACGAUAGUUGUGAGAAGAACGUUCUGGAAAGAACGGCCAUAGACGGUGAUAGCCCGGUAAUCGAAGCAAGUUGAAGCUUAGUGGUAUCCUGAGUAACGCGGAACACGAGAAAUUCUGCGCGAAUCCGCCGGGACCAUCCGGUAAGGCUAAAUACUCCCGUGAGACCGAUAGCGAACGAGUACCGUGAGGGAAAGGUGAAAAGAACCCCGAGCAGGGGAGUGAAAGAGAUCCUGAACCCUUGCGCCUACAAGCGGUCGGAGCUGGCUAUGCCAGUGACGGCGUGCCUUUUGCAUAAUGAACCUACGAGUUACCAUCACAGGCAAGGUUAAGUCCCAUGAGGGACGCAACCGCAGUGAAAGCGAGGCUGAAUAGGCCGUCGAGUCUGUGGGGGUAGACGCGAAACCAAGUGAUCUACACUUGUCCAGGUUGAAGUCCCGGUAACACGGGAUGGAGGACCGAACCAAUAAGCGUUGAAAAGCUUCUGGAUGAGAUGAGUGUAGGAGUGAAAGGCCAAUCAAACUUGGAGAUAGCUCGUACUCCCCGAAAGGCAUUUAGGUGCCGCGUCGGAUGUUCAGCGUGAGAGGUAGAGCGACCGAUAGGACAAGAGGGCUUCACCGCCUAUCGAGUCCUGACGAACUCCGAAUGCUCACGCUCCGCAGUCCGGCAGUAAGGGGACGGGUGCUAAGGUCCGUUCCCGAGAGGAGAAGAAUCCAGACCGCCGUCUAAGGUCCCGGAAUUCUGUCUAAGUUAGUCUAACGAAGUGGGGUCUCAGUGACAGCCAGGAUGUUGGCUUGGAAGCAGCCAUUCAUUCAAAGAGUGCGUAACAGCUCACUGGUCGAGAGUCCCUGCAUGGAUAAUAAUCGGGUAUAAGACAGAUACCGAAGGCGCGGGAUAGCAAUAAUAAAAGUAUCGGUAGGGGAGCAUUCCAUAUCCGUCGAAUGGUGCGGGUAACUGAUCCUGGAGGAUAUGGAAAAGCAAAUGUAGGUAUAAGUAACGAUAAGGAGGGUAAGAUUCCCUCCCGCCGCAAGACUAAGGUUUCCCGGGCAAUGUCAAUCAUCCCGGGGUCAGUCGGGUCCUAAGUCUCAGCCGAACGGCGAGGGCGAUGGCAGACACGGUCAACAUUCCGUGACUACCUUUAUGAGCGAUGCGGAGACGGAGCAGUGACACUUCCGCGAACCGACGGAAUGGUUCGUUGAAGAGUGUAGACGUAGAUCACGGUAGGCAAAUCCGCCGUGAGAGUCGAACUUGAAAGUACAGGGUCCUCUUCGGAGGAACUUGAUAGCGAAGGUAAUCAUACUCCCGAGAAAAUCCGCUAAGCAAUCUUAAAGGUACCCGUACCGCAAACGGACACACGUAGUCGGGUAGAACAUACUAAGGCGUUGAGAGAUUCAUGGUUAAGGAACUAGGCAAACUGACCCCGUAACUUCGGGAUAAGGGGUCCUCGUGAAAGCGAGGCGCAGAGAAUAGGUCCAGGCAACUGUUUAACAAAAACACAGGGCUGUGCGAACUCGAAAGAUGAAGUAUACAGCCUGACACCUGCCCGGUGCCGGAAGGUUAAGAGGAGAUGUCAACCUUUGUGGCGAAGCAUUGAAUUGAAGCCCCGGUAAACGGCGGCCGUAACUAUAACGGUCCUAAGGUAGCGAAAUUCCUUGUCGGGU